UUUCUCUAAAAAUCUGUUUAGCAAGAAAUAAACACUUCUAAAUCUAAAAACGCUGUUGUAAUCAGAUAACACCUGUGAAGUGAUUUACAAGACAUCU